rnacentral:rRNA from 1 species
UACGGAAGGCAGCAGUGGGGAAUAUUGCACAAUGGGCGAAAGCCUGAUGCAGCUAUGCCGCGUGUAUGAAGAAGGCCUUAGGGUUGUAAAGUACUUUCAUCGGGGAGGAAAAAACAAAACUAAUAAUUUUAUUUCUUGACGUUACCCGAAAAAGAAGCACCGGCUAACUCCGUGCCAGCAGCCGCGGUAAUACGGAGGGUGCUAGCGUUAAUCAGAAUUACUGGGCGUAAAGAGCACGUAGGUGGUUUUUUUAAGUCAGAUGUGAAAUCCCUGGGCUUAACCUAGGAACUGCAUUUUGAAACUGAAAUACUAGAGUAUCGUAGAGGGAGGUAGAAUUCUAGGUGUAGCGGUGAAAUGCGUAGAUAUCUGGAGGAAUACCUGUGGCGAAAGCGGCCUCCUAAACGAAUACUGACACUGAGGUGCGAAAGCGUGGGGAGCAAACAGGGAUAGAUACC